AGACAUGGGCCACGGUUAUGGA
rnacentral:siRNA from 1 species